UAAUUCCUCCCAAUUACCAUAUUUUCGUGUGCUAUACCCACGCCUGCCAAGUGGUCCCGGGAACCCCGGACCCCGAUCGCCUAAUAUUUUUUCGGGCCAUAAAAUACUACCUAAGGAACAAAAGUCACUGCCCCGCCAUGAUCGUUCCUCAUGUUUUGCAUUUUUCGGCUAAAGAACUAGAAUUCCGCCUCAUUACCAUAUUUUUGUGUGCUACUGCCCACGCCUUCCGAGUGAGCCGUCCCCCCGGACUCGGAUCACCUAAAAUAUUUUCGGGCAACCAAAUAGGACCUAAGGAACCAUUGUCACCGCCUCUCCAAGCUUGUUCCUCAUUUUUUUUAUUUCUCGGCCAAAAAACUAGAAAUCCGCCUGAUUUCCAUAUUUUUGUGUGCUAUAGCCCACGUCUUCAAAGUGGUCCCCGGACCCCCGGACCCCGAUCGCCUAAAAUUUUUUCGGGCCAUCUAAUACGACCUAAGGAACCAUAGUAACCACCCACCAUGAUCGUUCCACAUUUUUUGCAUUUUUCGGCCAAACAACUAGAAUUCCGCGCGAUUCCCAUAUUUUCGUGUGCUAUAGCCCACGCCUG
rnacentral:lncRNA from 1 species